rnacentral:rRNA from 1 species
GUAGGUGGCAAGCGUUGUCCGGAAUUAUUGGGUGUAAAGCGCGCGCAGGCGGUCCUUUAAGUCUGAUGUGAAAGCCCACGGCUCAACCGUGGAGGGUCAUUGGAAACUGGGGGACUUGAGUACAGAAGAGGAAAGCGGAAUUCCAAGUGUAGCGGUGAAAUGCGUAGAGAUUUGGAGGAACACCAGUGGCGAAGGCGGCUUUCUGGUCUGUAACUGACGCUGAGGCGCGAAAGCGUGGGGAGCAAACAGGAUUAGAUACCCUGGUAGUCCACGCCGUAAACGAUGAGUGCUAAGUGUUAGGGGGUUUCCCGCCCCCCUUAGUGCUGCAGCUAACGCAUUAAGCACUCCGCCUGGGGAGUACGGCCGCAAGGCUG